CUCUGUUCUAGUUCCCCCUUAAAACAGGAAAUCUUUCAGCACUGUAGCUGAGAUAAUCACAUGACCCUAGAGUAUAAAACCUAAGACAAAGCUGCUUUCAGCAGUAGUGAGAGUGGGGUAGUUUCAGAUGAGACUCUUAUCUCCCUCGGCAGCUUUCUUGAGCCUUGGAAGACUGGCUUACUGUAAAUCCUAGGCCUCUGUUGUCCCUUGCUGCCUAUCUGUGAGUGAAACCUACUUCAUGCAACAUGCUGUGUGUGAGUGUGUUCUGUCUUAUGGGACUCAGGUUUCAGAAGGAGCAACCAGAAGGAAGUACUCUCUUCUUGCGGGGGUCACUGCUUACAACACAACUGUGGAAAGUCAAAUAAUCUUCCAGGACACAGGGAGAAGCUGGCCAUCCAUCAGCCAGGAGAGAGCUGUCACCAGAGAUUAAAUCAGCAAGAACUCUGACCUUGGACUUCCAGCCUCUAGAACUGUUAAUGACAGUAUCACAAUCCCAUACCUCUUUUGGGGACCAGAAGAUCCCAAUAUCACAGGAAGAAGAAGCAAAAUGUCUUGCCAGUGAAUCGCUAGGAGCAAUAAUGAGAUAAAUCACUCCCAUUUUCACCCCUUCAAUCUUGGACCCAUGGAUUCUAGCUUUGGAAAAAACUAAUAUAUUGGUCAUUGAUCUAGAGUGUACAGCACAUCCUGAAAAAUAUUAUUCCGGUUCUAGGAGGCAUUGCCACCAAGACAGAAGCAUCACUUAAUCUUCACAAAGAAACAUACACUAUAGUUUGGGUAUUUGACCUCUCCAAGCCUCGUGUUGAAAUUUGAUGGAACAAAUGUUGGAGGUGGGGCCUAAUUAGAAGUGUUAGGGAUCAAGAUCCCUCAUGAAUGACUGGGUGCUGUCCUCAUGAUAAUGAGUGAAUUUUCACUCUGUUAAUUCCUGCAAGAGUUCUCCUGAGAGCUGGUUGUUGAAAAGAGCCUGGUGCCUUCCUCCCAUCUCUUUCCUCCUCUCUCACCAUUGAAGCUUUACCUCCUUUGCCUUCCACCAGGACUGGGAGCAGCCUGAGGCCCCCACCAGAUACAGGUGCCGGCACCAUGCUACUUGCCAGCCUGCAGGACCAUGAGCCAAAUAAACCUUUUAAAAAAUAAUAAUAAUUUACCCAGUCUCAGCUAUUCCUUUAUAGCAACAAAAAUGAACAACAACAGCAUCCCAUCAGAUCUCUCAGGCCAGCUGCUUCUGGGUGAUGGGUAACAUGCACAUGCCAAUGAAUUUCAUGAGAAUGAGCCCAACAGUAUAAUAUACUUUCCCAAAGAAAAAUAAAGCACGUAUUUGAAAAUGCCAUAUACCUCAUUUUACAUUUCUACAUUAUCAUAUUAAUACGAGCUCCCUAUGAGACAUCAGGAAAUUCUGGAAAAGCACCAUGAAAUAAUUUGAAAUUUAGUUAUGAAAAUUGGUAUUUUAUUC
rnacentral:lncRNA from 10 species